rnacentral:lncRNA from 1 species
AAAAAGAAAUAGAUAAAGUUUUAAAGGAAUAAGAAAUAGAGUCCUAAUUAAUUGAAAUUGAUUUUUUUCUUGGUGGAGAUAGAGAUGGGGCUGUUUGUUUGGUCGUGGGGGAGGGAGUUGGGCUGUCUCACGGCUUGGAGGGGAAGAGGAGAUGGUACAGGGAGGAAAGAGUUCGGCCAGGAAGGAAAACAAAGGAAAAGAGAAAAAGAAAAGGGAAAAAGGGAGAAAGAA